UACAGAGGUCCCAAGCGUUGUUCGGAUUCAUUGGGCGUAAAGGGUGCGUAGGCGGCGCGGUAAGUCGGGUGUGAAAUCUCGGGGCUUAACUCCGAAACUGCAUUCGAUACUGCCGUGCUUGAGGACUGGAGAGGAGACUGGAAUUUACGGUGUAGCGGUGAAAUGCGUAGAUAUCGUAAGGAAGACCAGUGGCGAAGGCGGGUCUCGUGGACAGUUCCUGACGCUGAGGCACGAAGGCCAGGGGAGCAAACGGG
rnacentral:rRNA from 1 species